AACUAAGUUUGUUAUUGGUAUGAGCUUUCGUGUGCAUGCACACUUCUUCAGAUACACUGAAACAGAAGUGUAUCUGAAGAAGUGUCUGAAGAAGUGUGCAUGCACACGAAAGCUCAUACCAAUAACAAACUUAGUUGG
rnacentral:miRNA from 1 species